rnacentral:rRNA from 1 species
AUYAGGCCGAGGGCACGCCUGCCUGGGCGUCACAC